rnacentral:rRNA from 1 species
AUUGAACGCUGGCGGCAGGCCUAACACAUGCAAGUCGAGCGGGGUUUUCGGACCUAGCGGCGGACGGGUGAGUAAUGCAUCGGAACGUGCCCGAUCGUGGGGGAUAACGCAGCGAAAGCUGCGCUAAUACCGCAUACGAUCUGAGGAUGAAAGCGGGGGACCGUAAGGCCUCGCGCGAUCGGAGCGGCCGAUGUCAGAUUAGGUAGUUGGUGGGGUAAAGGCCCACCAAGCCGACGAUCUGUAGCUGGUCUGAGAGGACGACCAGCCACACUGGGACUGAGACACGGCCCAGACUCCUACGGGAGGCAGCAGUGGGGAAUUUUGGACAAUGGGCGAAAGCCUGAUCCAGCAAUGCCGCGUGCAGGAAGAAGGCCUUCGGGUUGUAAACUGCUUUUGUACAGAGCGAAAAGGUCCUUUCUAAUACAAGGGGCUCAUGACGGUACCGUAAGAAUAAGCACCGGCUAACUACGUGCCAGCCGCCGCGGUAACAC